rnacentral:rRNA from 1 species
UGGGGAAUUUUGGACAAUGGGGGCAACCCUGAUCCAGCAAUGCCGCGUGAGUGAAGAAGGCCUUCGGGUUGUAAAGCUCUUUUGUCAGGGAAGAAACGGUAGUAGCGAAUAACUAUUACUAAUGACGGUACCUGAAGAAUAAGCACCGGCUAACUACGUGCCAGCAGCCGCGGUAAUACGUAGGGUGCAAGCGUUAAUCGGAAUUACUGGGCGUAAAGCGUGCGCAGGCGGUUGUGUAAGUCAGAUGUGAAAUCCCCGGGCUCAACCUGGGAAUUGCAUUUGAGACUGCACGGCUAGAGUGUGUCAGAGGGGGGUAGAAUUCUACGUGUAGCAGUGAAAUGCGUAGAUAUGUGGAGGAAUACCGAUGGCGAAGGCAGCCCCCUGGGAUAACACUGACGCUCAUGCACGAAAGCGUGGGGAGCAAACAGGAUUAGAUACCCACGUAGUCCCUGAGCGGGCUGGCAAGGCGCAU